UUGAAUGGGGUNCAGAGCUGCCUGGAACAUC
rnacentral:piRNA from 1 species